UGGCUUAGAAGCAGCCAUCCUUUAAAGAUAGCGUAACAGCUCACUCAUCUAGAGAACUUGCGCCGCAAAUAAUCGGGGCUCAAGUGUAGUACCGAAGCUGAGGGUUUGUGCAUUUCAUAGAGGAUUUCAUUCCUCAAAAAUUUCAGGACAGGUGGUCGAGAGGCUAGACAAUAUCUUAUAAAGAUAAGUACGAUGGUUCGAACCCAUCCCCGUCCUCGAAUUUUAAUUUUUUGGUUUAGUUCAAAAAGUAACGAGAAGUAGUUCAAUGCAGAACAUCUUAAUUAUGUUGAGACUUAAAACGUUUAUCAUAUAAAGAGAUAUCGGUUCGAAUCCGAUCUUCUCGAUUCUUUAUUUAUUUUAUUAAAUCAACCGAAUACGAUUCGGAUCUUCUAUGAAAUGCAUAAGCGGUAGGAGAGUGUUGUACUCUGCGAUGAAGCGGAAGGCGUGAGCCACCGUGGAGCGUGUACAAGUAAGAAUGUUGGCACAAGUAACCGCAAGACAGGUGAAAUCCCUGUCCGCCGAAAGACUAAGGUUUCCACCGCAACGACAAUCGACGGUGGGUUAGUCGGGCCUAAGGAGAUGGCGAUAGCCGCAUCCGAUGGACACAUGGUUAAUAUUCCAUGACUUUAUUGCAAGCGAUGGAGGGACGGAGAACAAAAAUCCCCGCGCAUUAUUGGAUUUGACGUUCGUGCUGGUAGAGAGGAUAUCUAGGAAAAUCCGGAUAUCAUAUACUCUCAAAGGAGCGACGAGGUAAGCCUUCGGGUUUGCCAAGGGGGAAGCAGAGUCUUCCAAGAAAAUCUUCUAGCAUUAAUUGCAACGAAUCCGUACCGUAAACCGACACAGGUAGUCAGGUCGAGUAGACCAAGGCGAACGAGUGAGUGAUCCUCAAGGAACUCGGCAAAAAAGCAGCCGUAACUUUGGAAUAAGGCUUGCCCCCACUACUUUGGAUAGUUCCAAAAGUAUGUGGAAGAGUAAAUUGAAUUUUUAGAGACAAAAACAAAACAGAACUCUCAUUAUACAAUAGAUAGAAGUAUCUAAAGUAGUGGGGGCCGCAGCGAAAGUAUCCCUGGCGACUGUUUAUCAAAAACACAGCUCCCUGCGAAAUCGCAAGAUGAUGUAUAGGGGGUGACACCUGACCAAUGCCAGAAGGUUAAAUAUCGGUGGUGUACAGCAUCCUGUUCAUGACUUGUUCGUGAUCAGAAUGCUGUAUGCUGGCUGAUAUAAGCCCUGGUGAAUGUCGGCCGUAACUAUAACGGUCCUAAGGUAGCGAAUUACCUUGUCGGGUAAAUUCCGACGCGCACGAAUGGUGUAACGACUAGGGAACUGUCUCGAGGAUUAGCUCGGUGAAAAUACAAUACCGGUGAAGAUGCCGGUUACCUGCAGUUAGACGAAAAGACCCCGGGAGCUUUACUACAGCUUCACAUUGGGCAUAUUGAUAUUGUGCGUAGCAUAGGUGGGAGAGGUUGAAGCAUAGAUUUUGGUUUAUGUGGACUCGUCAGUGAAAUACCACUCUCAAUUUUGGUAUGUCCUAACCUGUUAGAAAAAACUAACAGAGACAGUGUGUGGUGGGUAGUUUGUUUGGGGCGAAUCCCUCCUAAAUCGUAACGGAGGGGCCUACAAAGGUCAUCUAGGCGUGAAUGGAAACCAUGCCGAUAGUGUAAUGGCAUAAGAUGGCUUGACUGCAAGACGUACAUGUCGAGCAGGCGCGAAAGCGGAGCAUAGUGAACCGACCAUACGCUUUAGACGCGGUGGAAGAUCAACGGAUAAAAGCUACCCCGGGGAUAACAGGCUAGUAUCGCCCGAGAGUUCAUAUCGACGGCGGUGUUCGGCACCUCGAUGUCGGCUCAUCUUAUCCUGGGGCUGGAGAAGGUCCCAAGG
rnacentral:rRNA from 1 species